UUGCCAGACUCCUACGGGAGGCAGCAGUGAGGAAUAUUGGUCAAUGGCCGUAAGGCUGAACCAGCCAAGUAGCGUGAGGGAAGACUGCCCUAUGGGUUGUAAACCUCUUUUAUGCGGGGAUAAAGGUGUCCACGUGUGGAUGUUUGCAGGUACCGCAUGAAUAAGGACCGGCUAAUUCCGUGCCAGCAGCCGCGGUAAUACGGCGGAUCCGAGCGUUAUCCGGAUUUAUUGGGUUUAAAGGGAGCGUAGGUGGAUUGUUAAGUCAGUUGUGAAAGUUUGCGGCUCAACCGUAAAAUUGCAGUUGAAACUGGCAGUCUUGAGUACAGUAGAGGUGGGCGGAAUUCGUGGUGUAGCGGUGAAAUGCUUAGAUAUCACGAAGAACUCCGAUUGCGAAGGCAGUUCACUGGACUGCAACUGACACUGAGGCUCGAAAGUGUGGGUAUCAAACAGGAUUAGAUACCCUCGUA
rnacentral:rRNA from 1 species